rnacentral:rRNA from 1 species
GAAAUCAAGGUGUCUAGGGGCAUCAAUGACAGUGUAGUACUACUUGGUGGUCUCAAACUUCUGCAGGGCAAUAUCAAUGUUGAUACCCCUCUCACGGUUAGCCUUCAACUGGUCGAGCACCCACGCAUACUUCAAUGACCUCUUGUUUAUCUCAGUGGCUUCCUUCUAAAACCUCUCGAUCACACGCCUAUCAAUACCUCCAAGCUUGUAGAUCAGAUGGCCAGUGGUGGUCAACAUCGCCAAUGA